ACGGGAGGCAGCAGUAAGGAAUAUUGGUCAAUGGAGGCAACUCUGAACCAGCCAUGCCGCGUGCAGGAAGACUGCCCUAUGGGUUGUAAACUGCUUUUAUCCGGGAAUAAACCUACUUACGUGUAAGUAGCUGAAUGUACCGGAAGAAUAAGGAUCGGCUAACUCCGUGCCAGCAGCCGCGGUAAUACGGAGGAUCCAAGCGUUAUCCGGAUUUAUUGGGUUUAAAGGGUGCGUAGGCGGCCUGUUAAGUCAGGGGUGAAAGACGGUAGCUCAACUAUCGCAGUGCCCUUGAUACUGAUGGGCUUGAAUGGACUAGAGGUAGGCGGAAUGAGACAAGUAGCGGUGAAAUGCAUAGAUAUGUCUC
rnacentral:rRNA from 1 species